UCAAGUGAAUAAGUGCAUCAGGUGGAUGCCUUGGCGAUGAUAGGCGACGAAGGACGUGUAAGCCUGCGAAAAGCGCGGGGGAGCUGGCAAUAAAGCUAUGAUCCCGCGAUGUCCGAAUGGGGAAACCCACUGCAUUCUGUGCAGUAUCCUAAGUUGAAUACAUAGACUUAGAGAAGCGAACCCGGAGAACUGAACCAUCUAAGUACCCGGAGGAAAAGAAAUCAACCGAGAUUCCGCAAGUAGUGGCGAGCGAACGCGGAGGAGCCUGUACGUAAUAACUGUCGAGAUAGAAGAACAAGCUGGGAAGCUUGACCAUAGUGGGUGAUAGUCCCGUAUUCGAAAUCUCAACGGUGGUACUAAGCGUACGAAAAGUAGGGCGGGACACGUGAAAUCCUGUCUGAAUAUGGGGGGACCAUCCUCCAAGGCUAAAUACUCAUCAUCGACCGAUAGUGAACCAGUACCGUGAGGGAAAGGCGAAAAGAACCCCGGGAGGGGAGUGAAAUAGAACCUGAAACCUGAUGCAUACAAACAGUGGGAGCACCCUUGUGGUGUGACUGCGUACCUUUUGUAUAAUGGGUCAACGACUUACAUUCAGUAGCGAGCUUAACCGAAUAGGGGAGGCGUAGGGAAACCGAGUCUUAAUAGGGCGAACAGUUGCUGGGUGUAGACCCGAAACCGAGUGAUCUAUCCAUGGCCAGGUUGAAGGUGCCGUAACAGGUACUGGAGGACCGAACCCACGCAUGUUGCAAAAUGCGGGGAUGAGCUGUGGAUAGGGGUGAAAGGCUAAACAAACUCGGAGAUAGCUGGUUCUCCCCGAAAACUAUUUAGGUAGUGCCUCGAGCAAGACACUGAUGGGGGUAAAGCACUGUUAUGGCUAGGGGGUUAUUGCAACUUACCAACCCAUGGCAAACUAAGAAUACCAUCAAGUGGUUCCUCGGGAGACAGACAGCGGGUGCUAACGUCCGUUGUCAAGAGGGAAACAACCCAGACCGCCAGCUAAGGUCCCAAAUGAUAGAUUAAGUGGUAAACGAAGUGGGAAGGCCCAGACAGCCAGGAUGUUGGCUUAGAAGCAGCCAUCAUUUAAAGAAAGCGUAAUAGCUCACUGGUCGAGUCGUCCUGCGCGGAAGAUGUAACGGGGCUCAAAUCUAUAACCGAAGCUGCGGAUGCCAGUUUACUGGCAUGGUAGGGGAGCGUUCUGUAGGCCGAUGAAGGUGCAUUGUAAAGUGUGCUGGAGGUAUCAGAAGUGCGAAUGUUGACAUGAGUAGCGAUAAAGCGGGUGAAAAGCCCGCUCGCCGAAAGCCCAAGGUUUCCUACGCAACGUUCAUCGGCGUAGGGUGAGUCGGCCCCUAAGGCGAGGCAGAAAUGCGUAGUCGAUGGGAAACAGGUUAAUAUUCCUGUACUUGAUUCAAAUGCGAUGUGGGGACGGAGAAGGUUAGGUUAGCAAGCUGUUGGAAUAGCUUGUUUAAGCCGGUAGGUGGAAGACUUAGGCAAAUCCGGGUCUUCUUAACACCGAGAAGUGACGACGAGUGUCUACGGACAUGAAGUAACCGAUACCACGCUUCCAGGAAAAGCCACUAAGCUUCAGUUUGAAUCGAACCGUACCGCAAACCGACACAGGUGGGCAGGAUGAGAAUUCUAAGGCGCUUGAGAGAACUCAGGAGAAGGAACUCGGCAAAUUGAUACCGUAACUUCGGGAGAAGGUAUGCCCUCUAAGGUUAAGGACUUGCUCCGUAAGCCUAGGAGGGUCGCAGAGAAUAGGUGGCUGCGACUGUUUAUUAAAAACACAGCACUCUGCUAACACGAAAGUGGACGUAUAGGGUGUGACGCCUGCCCGGUGCUGGAAGGUUAAUUGAAGAUGUGAGAGCAUCGGAUCGAAGCCCCAGUAAACGGCGGCCGUAACUAUAACGGUCCUAAGGUAGCGAAAUUCCUUGUCGGGUAAGUUCCGACC
rnacentral:rRNA from 1 species